AAAAAAUACUAGCGAUUGCCAGUAUUGUUAAUUGUUCCGUGUGAUUAAUGCAUUUGAAUAGGUUUCAAUACAUCAUUGCAGUGGUCCUGAAAACUGAAACUUUGAGAUACUGAUUUAUCUUCGUUCAGUGUAAUAUGACAUGCAACUUUGGUAUACAUUUUGUUAUCUGAAUUGCUACUUCGCUAUACUUCUAGAACACAACAGUCAAUGUUUGACCAUACAGACCUGCAUAAUGGACAGGUUUUCUUACGUUUUAACCACUCUUUCAUACAAUGAUUAUGAAAUUUGUGGUUGCAAUGGUAACUCAUGCACAUAAGAUCAUAUAGUUUCAUAAUGUUCAAGCAUAUUUGACAGCUCUCAGCUGUAAGGUCGUG
rnacentral:lncRNA from 1 species